rnacentral:rRNA from 1 species
UCGGGAAUUUUGGGCAAUGGGCGAAAGCCUGACCCAGCAACGCCGCGUGAAGGAUGAAGUAUUUCGGUAUGUAAACUUCGUAAGAAUAGGAAGAAUAAAUGACGGUACUAUUUGUAAGGUCCGGCUAACUACGUGCCAGCAGCCGCGGUAAUACGUAGGGACCAAGCGUUGUUCGGAUUUACUGGGCGUAAAGGGCGCGUAGGCGGCGUGGUAAGUCAUCUGUGAAAUCUCCGAGCUUAACUCGGAACGGUCAGAUGAUACUGCUUUGCUAGAGUGCAGAAGGGGCAAUCGGAAUUCUUGGUGUAGCGGUGAAAUGCGUAGAUAUCAAGAGGAACACCUGAGGUGAAGACGGGUUGCUGGGCUGACACUGACGCUGAGGCGCGAAAGCCAGGGGAGCAAACGGGAUUAGAUACCCUGGUAGUCCCUGAGCGGGCUGGCAAGGCGCAU